UUCAAUUAUAGUUUAAAACAAAAUAUGCUUUUGAUUAUAAUUUUUAUUGCUUGGAAUGCAAUGAAAAAAUGCUGAAAAAUAAUGCUAUAUAAAGCAAUCUUGGGCAGAAUUGCCCUUUUAUUAAUUAUUAUUUCUCCGCUUAAUAAAAACUAAUUAAUGAUAAGUACAUUUGAAGAGAUAUUUUUGUGAAAGUGAUCAGACAUAGAAUAAUCUUUUCGGUGUAUGGUUUACUAUAAAUAUCUGAGAAAACAGGAACUUUUCAUAAUAUCUGCUUUCCACACAGUAAAGAAAUAUCUUGAAUUUCAAAGGAUUACAUACUAUAAAGAUUUUUAAAAUUUAAUCUUAUGUAAGCAAUUUUAACAAUAGCAUUACUAGAAGAGGAAGGCCAGUCUCUACUAAUUUAUAUAAGAAUUCUUACUCUGUUCUUUUUCAUUAGUGAAUUCACAAUUAACUGAUUUAGUUAGAUGAAGCCCAAAAGCAAAGGCUCAUAAAUCCUUUAUUCAGCGGACAGAUACUUGUUAAGUGCCUAAUAUGUAUCAGAGACAGAGUCAUAAAAAAAAAUCUGAAGUAUUUAACCUUGGAAAACUUAUCCUUUAAUGGUGAAAAUAUAGAGUAGAGAUAAAUGAAAUGCAGUGUGUCUGGUUGCAAGUGCUAAGAAGGAUAUCAGAGCAGGGUAAAGGGUAUUGGUGUGACGGUUCUAGGAAGAGGAGUAUUCCACCUUAAAUGGUUUAAUCAGGGAAAAUCUCUCUGAAAAGGUGACUGUUGGGUAGAGCAGAAUGAAAUGAGGGAAUUAGCCAUGUGGAUAGACAUUCUCUACUAAGGAAACAGUAAGGAACAAUGACAUUCUAUUUUCUGACUAAGAAAAUAGGAUAUGCAAAGGGCUAAGGAAUGGGGAGGCCUCACAGCAUGUCCAUGAGACCCAGCUACCUCAACAGAUGGACCAAGGGAGAGGAAGGUGGUGAGGGCAGAGACCUAGAAGGCCAUGGUGAGAACUUUGAGACUGAUUCUCGGGAAUAUAAGCCAUCACCAUGUUUUGAGCGGAAGAGUGACAUUUUGUCUUUGGUUUUGAAAAGAUCACUUUGGCUUUUCUGAAUAAUUAGAUACAUAAUGUGGAUUUACGUUGGUCGUUAAUAACAAAGAAAAGUAAAUUCCAAUUUCUCAUGUUGUGAAUCAUUAUAAGAAAAUGAGACAAAUCCAGCUCAAAGAUUCAAUUUAAUAGGUAGUUUUCAAGAUAUUUGCAAUACAUUUUAUGGAUCUAAUUGUACUCAAUCUUGAGGUCUUGUCAUUAUCAUAAGCCCUAAUGUCAAAUAUGAAAAUCAGCAUUUCUCAAUAGGGAAUUCUGAAAAGUUCUUGGGUGAUCUUCCAUUAGCAUCACUUUUACUUCCAUUUAUAGUCUUGCAUGUCUUUCAAGGUCUAAAUUGCUAUUCAUCUAGCUCUCACCCAGCUAUGAGUAAUUUCUAAUAGAUGGAUCCCCAGUUAGCUUCUGCAUAGCAAAAAGCAAGUGAUGUGCUAAUUGAGUCUCAAUUAGCUUACAUCAUAUCUCUUACAGAAUUUCAAAACAUGAUUGUUACCAUAUUAAAGGCUCAGAGGAGAGAGGACAAGUAUUUUUCUUGAUGGUUUACUAUGAACAGGGAUCAUCUACCUGUAUAGGAAUUGCGUUUUUUAUCAAAUCAAAAUAAAAUGAAGCCCAUAAAGAAUAAGCUACCCUCUUCCAUGGGCUGUCAGAAAAUACCAUGGGGCACAAGACACAUUUACUUUGGAGUACAGAUACAGGUGUUAUUACCAUCCACAAGAAGCCACACCACAGGCUUUCUCUCUCUUCUCACUUCAGACUCUGAUUUGCUUCAACUCUAAAAAAAUGAGAAUAAAGUGUGUCUUCUUAUUGGAAAAUCACUCAGCUGGCCUUACUUUAAUCUUUCUUAGACUUGAGUUCACAAAUGAAACAGAGCGACAUUCAGGUAGACAACAGAACACCAGAUAAGUUGGGAGCAAAGAUAAAUCCAAGCAAAUUUACAGUAAAACAGGUAGAGAGUCUUUAGAAUCAGAUGAGAUGCAAACUAAUGGCAAUUUACACAGUAGGUUGCCCUCCCUAGUAGAAUUUCAAACAUGCUAUUUCUUUAAAAAAGAUAUUGUAAAAGAAGAAAAGUAUUAUUAAGAUCAGCAGCCUACAUGAAGUUUUGAAAUUCUUAAGGAAAAGAGAUACUGUGCAGGUCUCAGAAUAGUCACUGUUGUUCCUUUGUUUCUUCCAAAGUUUUCAGCGAAAUGAACAAAAGAUUUUAUGUGAAAAAUCAGAUAUCUCCUAUGAAUAAAACUCACUAUAACAAAAAUAAUAAAACAAAUAAUACUAGGCCAGGUGUAUUUUUUUAAUCUCAUGAAUUAUAGCCAAGUUAAGUCAAAAAAUGUGAGAUGAAGAAAGGAUUCUACAUAACCUGUACUGUUCAGUUUAACUAGUAUAUAUUGAGUACCUAUUAUUUGACAGGCAUUAUUCUAGGUUUUAGGAAUACAGCUUUGAACAAGAAGUGCUUGCUUUCGUGAAGCUCACAUCUAAUGACAUACAUCAUAAAGAAUUCAAAAAAUCAACAAAAAAGAAUAAAGAAUAUUUCAGAUUGCAACAAAUGCUGAAAAAAGAGCAGAAAUAGAGAAAAACUGUGAGAGUUACCUGUUGAACUGGGUCGUAUUUUGGAUUCAGGAGUCAGGGAAGGUAUUCCUGGAGUGUCAGUUAAAUUGAAAUAGAAACAGACAAGAGACAGUCACUGAGAGGUGUUCUUGGACACGGAAGAUGCAAAGCCCCUAGGACAGACAAGUCUUCAGGCAUGAAGAAAGCUGGCACAGCUGGAACAUACAAUGUGAGGGAGGCAGUGGCUUUUUACAAGCAUACGCACCAAGCAUAAGAGAAGGAUCAUGUGCAGAACGUUAUCACAGUUACCUAGAUGCCUUCAGAGCCCUGGAAACCAGGAGCAGAAUCCACUCAAAACACGACGCAAAAUUAGAACUACCUGUUCUCGUCUUCAUCUUUAAUAAUACUUAAAAACUUUAUGAAGAUUCUGUUAUGAUAUCCUUUAGAUAAGAGAAUAAACGUGGUGGUUUAAAGC